ACUGUCAUAAAAUAAGAGUUACGACGACAUAUUUUGUACAAAAAAUUGUUGUAUUUUUGCAACGUGGUCGUGACGUGGACAAUAGAAUUAUAUGUCAUGACGUGGCAGUGGUUAUAGAGCGUAGUAGGGACCAGUCAAGGAGUGCAAACCCCCCGGAAACCGAGACAAAGUCCGCCCCGGCAAGUCGCGUAGACCCGUAGAUCGCGCAUUGGGGGCGGUAAAUCGUUCCAGCACCGGGAGGCCGCAAACCUGAACGAUCCACGAAAGGCAGCAGUUCUGUGCGCCGGCGUCUCGAAAACACUAGUA
rnacentral:misc_RNA from 1 species